GACGUAGGGCGCGAGCGUUGUCCGGAUUUAUUGGGCGUAAAGAGCUCGUAGGCGGCUUGUCGCGUCGUCCGUGAAAACCCACAGCUCAACUGUGGGCUUGCGGUCGAUACGGGCAGGCUAGAGUUCGGUAGGGGAGACUGGAAUUCCUGGUGUAGCGGUGAAAUGCGCAGAUAUCAGGAGGAACACCGGUGGCGAAGGCGGGUCGCUGGGCCGAUACUGACGCUGAGGAGCGAAAGCGUGGGGAGCAAACAGG
rnacentral:rRNA from 1 species